CCAAGCUGAUCAUCUGGCGGCAUGCCUAACACAUGCAAGUCGAGCGGUAACAGGUCCAGCUUGCUGGAUGCUGACCCUUAGGAGGACGGGUGAGUAAUGCAUAGGAAUCUACCCAGUCGUGGGGGAUAACCUGGGGAAACCCAGGCUAAUACCGCAUACGUCCUACGGGAGAAAGCGGGGGCUCUUCGGACCUCUCGCGAGUGGAUGAGCCUAUGUGGGAUUAGCUGGUUGGUGGGGUAACGGCUCACCAAGGCGACGAUCCAUAGCUGGUCUGAGAGGAUGAUCAGCCACACUGGGACUGAGACUCGGUCCAGUCUCCUACUGGAGGCAGGUAGGGGGGAAUAUUGU
rnacentral:rRNA from 1 species